UACGAAGGGUGCAAGCGUUACUCGGAAUUACUGGGCGUAAAGCGUGCGUAGGUGGUUUGUUAAGUCUGUUGUGAAAUCCCCGGGCUCAACCUGGGACUUGCAGUUGAAACUGGAAAGCUAGAGUAGGGUAGAGGGGUGUGGAAUUCCAGGUGUAGCGGUGAAAUGCGUAGAUAUCUGGAGGAACAUCAGUGGCGAAGGCGACACCCUGAACUCAUACUGGACACUGAGGUGCGAAAGCGUGGGGAGCAAACAGG
rnacentral:rRNA from 1 species